rnacentral:rRNA from 1 species
AGCUACCGCUAUUGGAAUCCGAUUAAGCCAUGCAAGUCGAGAGAUUUCGGAUCUCGGCAGACGUCUCAGUAACACGUGGAUAAUCUACCCUUGAGUGGGGGAUAAGCUUGGAAACCUGAGUAUAAUACCCCAUAGGUCUAGGAUGCUGGAAUGCUUCUAGGCUCAAAGCUCCGGCGCUCAAGGAUGAAUCUGCGGCCUAUCAGGCAGUAGUGGGUGUAACGGACCCACUAACCUUCGACGGGUACGGGCCUUGAGAGAGGUUGCCCGGAGUUGGACUCUGAGACACGAGUCCAGGCCCUACGGGGUGCAGCAGGCGCGAAAACUUCACAAUGUGGGAAACCACGAUGAGGGGAUUCCAAGUGCCAGCACAAUGUGUUGGCUGUUCACUUGCCUAAAAAGCUGGUGAAGUAAGGGCCGGGUAAGACGGGUGCCAGCCGCCGCGGUAAUACCCGCGGCCCGAGUGGUGGCCAUUGUAUUGAGCCUAAAGCGUUCGUAGCCGGUUUCAUAAAUUUCUGGGUAAAUCGGACAGCUUAACUGUCCGAAUUCCGGAAAGACUGUGAAACUUGGGACCGGAGGAGGUUGGAGGUACUCCUGGGGUAGGGGUGAAAUCCUGUAAUCCUGGGGGGACCACCAGUGGCGAAGGCGUCCAACCAAGACGGCUCCGACGGUAAGGGACGAAGCCCUGAGGCGCAAACGGGAUUAGAUACCCCGGUAGUCCAGGGUGUAAACGCUGCAGGCUUGGUGUUGGGGGUCCUACGAGGGCGCCCAGUGCCGGAGAGAGGUUGUUAGGCCUGCCGCUUGGGGAGUACGUCCGCAAGGAUGAAACUUAAAGGAAUUGGCGGGGGAGCACAGCAACGGGUGGAGCGUGCGGUUCA